AAUGAACGCUGGCGGCAGGCCUAACACAUGCAAGUCGAGCGAAGUCUUCGGACUUAGCGGCGGACGGGUGAGUAACGCGUGGGAACAUGCCCUUUGGUUCGGAAUAGCCCCGGGAAACUGGGAGUAAUACCGCAUGUGCCCUUCGGGGGAAAGAUUUAUCGCCAAAGGAUUGGCCCGCGUUGGAUUAGGUAGUUGGUGGGGUAAUGGCCUACCAAGCCGACGAUCCAUAGCUGGUUUGAGAGGAUGAUCAGCCACACUGGGACUGAGACACGGCCCAGACGCCGACGGGAGGCAGCAGUGGGGAAUAGUAGACAAGGGGCGAAAGGCUGAGAAAGCAAUGCGGAGGGAGAGAUAAAGGCCUUAGGGUUGUAAAGAUCUUUGAGUGGGGAAGAGAAAGAAAGUACCGGGAGAAUAAGAGCAGGAUAACUCCGUG
rnacentral:rRNA from 1 species